ensembl:lncRNA
GGUUCCCAAUGCCUCUCUGUGGGUCCCUAUGGGUCCCAAUGUGUCCCUAUGGGUCCCAAUGCCUCUCUCUGGGUCCCUAUGUGUCCCUAUGUGUCCCUAUGGGUCCCAAUGUGUCCCUAUGGGUCCCAAUGCCUCUCUGUGGGUCGCUAUGGGUCCCGUCAGCGCUGUGUGCCCCAUAGGCGUCGCUAUGUGUCCCUAUGCGUCGCUAUGGGUCCCUAUGUGUCCCUAUGGGUCCCAAUGCCUCUCUAUGUGUCUCUGUGGCUCUCUAUGUGUCCCUAUGUGUCCCUAUGUGUCCCUAUGGGUCCCAAUGUGUCCCUAUGGGUCCCUAUGUGUCCCUAUGUGUCCCUAUGGGUCCCUAUGUGUCCCUAUGUGUCCCUAUGGGUCCCUAUGUGUCCCUAUGGGUCCCGUCAGCGCUGUGUGCCCCAUAGGCGUCGCUAUGUGUCCCUAUGUGUCCCUAUGGGUCCCUAUGGGUCCCUAUGUGUCCCUAUGUGUCCCUAUGGGUCCCUAUGUGUCCCUAUGGGUCCCAAUGCCUCUCUGUGGGUCCCUAUGGGUCGCUAUGGGUCCCGUCAGCGCUGUGUGCCCCAUAGGCGUCGCUAUGUGUCCCUAUGUGUCCCUAUGUGUCCCUAUGUGUCCCUAUGUGUCCCUAUGGGUCCCAAUGUGUCCCUAUGGGUCCCAAUGCCUCUCUGUGGGUCCCUAUGUGUCCCUAUGUGUCUGUAUGUGUCCCAAUGCCUCUCUAUGUGUCUCUAUGGCUCUCUAUGUGUCCCUAUGUGUCCCUAUGUGUCCCUAUGGCUCUCUAUGUGUCCCUAUGUGUCCCUAUGGGUCCCAAUGCCUCUCUGUGGGUCCCUAUGUGUCCCUAUGGGUCGCUAUGGGUCCCGUCAGCGCUGUGUGCCCCAUAGGCGUCGCUAUGUGUCCCUAUGUGUCCCUAUGUGUCCCAAUGUGUCCCUAUGGGUCCCUAUGUGUCCCUAUGGGUCCCUAUGUGUCCCAAUGCCUCUCUAUGUGUCCCUAUGUG